UACGUAGGGUGCGAGCGUUGUCCGGAAUUACUGGGCGUAAAGAGCUCGUAGGUGGUUUGUCGCGUUGUUCGUGAAAACUCACAGCUCAACUGUGGGCGUGCGGGCGAUACGGGCAGACUAGAGUGCGGUAGGGGAGACUGGAAUUCCUGGUGUAGCGGUGAAAUGCGCAGAUAUCAGGAGGAACACCGGUGGCGAAGGCGGCCAUCUGGACGACAACUGACGCUGAGAUGCGAAAGCGUGGGGAGCAAACAGG
rnacentral:rRNA from 1 species